CAGUAGGGAAUCUUCGGCAAUGGACGAAAGUCUGACCGAGCAACGCCGCGUGAGUGAAGAAGGUUUUCGGAUCGUAAAACUCUGUUGGUAGAGAAGAACGUUGGUGAGAGUGGAAAGCUCAUCAGGUGACGGUAACUACCCAGAAAGGGACGGCUAACUACGUGCCAG
rnacentral:rRNA from 1 species